AUUGAACGCUGGCGGCAGGCCUAACACAUGCAAGUCGAGCGGAUGAAGGGAGCUUGCUCCUGGAUUCAGCGGCGGACGGGUGAGUAAUGCCUAGGAAUCUGCCUGGUAGUGGGGGAUAACGUCCGGAAGCGGGCGCUAAUACCGCAUACGUCCUGAGGGAGAAAGUGGGGGAUCUUCGGACCUCACGCUAUCAGAUGAGCCUAGGUCGGAUUAGCUAGUUGGUGGGGUAAAGGCCUACCAAGGCGACGAUCCGUAACUGGUCUGAGAGGAUGAUCAGUCACACUGGAACUGAGACGCGGUCCAGACUCCUACGGGAGGCAGCAGUGGGGAAUAUUGGACAAUGGGCGAAAGCCUGAUCCAGCCAUGCCGCGUGUGUGAAGAAGGUCUUCGGAUUGUAAAGCACUUUAAGUUGGGAGGAAGGGCAGUAAGUUAAUACCUUGCUGUUUUGACGUUACCAACAGAAUAAGCACCGGCUAACUUCGUG
rnacentral:rRNA from 1 species